GCUAGGGAGCCGACAGAAGAGAGUGAGCAUAUAUAGUUCUUUCCUUGCAUAUGUGGUCAUAUGUGUGUUGACUGAAGAGAUACAUAUAUUUAGAGAGAGAAGAGUUCAUGUGCUUGAAGCUAUAUGUGCUCACUUCUCUUUCUGUCAGCAAAUUAUC
rnacentral:miRNA from 1 species